UAAAGAAACCCCGGCUAACUUCGUGCCAGCAGCCGCGGUAAUACGGAGGGGGUUAGCGUUUUUCGGAAUUACUGGGCGUAAAGCGCACGUAGGCGGAUUGGAAAGUUUGGGGUGAAAUCCCAGGGCUCAAACGUGGAUACAGCCUUCUAAACUCCCAGUCUAGAGUUUGAGAGAGGUGAGUGGAAUUCCGAGUGUAGAGGUAAAUUCGUAGAUAUUCGGAGGAACAUCCAGUGGCGAAGACGGCUCCCUGGCUAGAUACUGACGCUGAGGUGCAGAAAGUGUGGGGAGCACACAGGAUUAGAUAUCCCUGGUAGUCCACACCCUAAACGAUGUAAGCCAUACGUGGGGGGGUUUGCCCUUCAGGUGUCACACCUAACGUCCUAAGGAUUCCGCCUGGGGAGUAAUAUCGGGAGCAU
rnacentral:rRNA from 1 species